rnacentral:rRNA from 1 species
GGCGGCGUGCUUAACACAUGCAAGUCGAACGGAAAGGCCCUGCUUUGUGGGGUGCUCGAGUGGCGAACGGGUGAGUAACACGUGAGUAACCUGCCCUUGACUUUGGGAUAACUUCAGGAAACUGGGGCUAAUACCGGAUAGGAGCUCCUGCUGCAUGGUGGGGGUUGGAAAGUUUCGGCGGUUGGGGAUGGACUCGCGGCUUAUCAGCUUGUUGGUGGGGUAGUGGCUUACCAAGGCUUUGACGGGUAGCCGGCCUGAGAGGGUGACCGGCCACAUUGGGACUGAGAUACGGCCCAGACUCCUACGGGAGGCAGCAGUGGGGAAUAUUGCACAAUGGGCGGAAGCCUGAUGCAGCAACGCCGCGUGCGGGAUGACGGCCUUCGGGUUGUAAACCGCUUUCGCCUGUGACGAAGCGUGAGUGACGGUAAUGGGUAAAGAAGCACCGGCUAACUACGUG